CCUCUACAACUUUGUGUCUCCAACUUUGUUUAUUCAUAACAGGAAGAAUAACAGGAAAUGCUCUUAUUCUCUUCAGGGAUGGCUUCACCAAGUGUCAAAUAAGAGUUUCUCCAACACACUGAAGAUUUGGACAGAUGACAAGGCCAGGAAGUACCGAUUAAAUAAGAAGAGUGGAUGAGUGGAUGAAACCGGAGGACCUGGAGGAAACCCACGCAGACACGAGGAGAACAUGCAAACUCCUGUCAGCGACUGGACUUGAACCCAGAAUCUUUUUGCUGUAAGUGAGUUGUCCUGUGCAUUUUGGUAAAGAUUGGUCAAGAAGUGACGACGCUAGACCACCAACAAACAAACGGACAGAUCAACAUACUUGCAAAAAUCUCCGAUUUUCACAAGUAACAAACAAACAAAUGAAUGGAGGUGAAAAUGGAACCUUCUCCAGCAAAGAUGGAGGAGGACACACGGCGAGUCUGGAUCCCAGUGCCACAUGCCCUUUCCUCCACCUCGUCCUGCUCUGUGCUGUUCCUGUCUGUGCCGGAGUCUGGAGUACAGGGUCCCCAUGGAGAAGCAUCCCAGUAGUACACUGUGUACGUCUGGGUGCCACAGGCUCUCCACUGCUCCAGCACAGGUGCGCUACAGAUGAAGACUGGCAUGAACUGAGUGAACUGGGAUCUGUUUCUCAUCUUGGGGGCCUCGAAAAGAUAACCAUUUACUCCAGAAUAUCCUUGAUGAAUAUCCCCUUCGUCCGACAUGUAAGAAUCCCAAUCAUUAUCAGAAUUCUCUCCAAAACGUGAUUCCAUAUUAAGACUGCUCUAACCACUGCUGCGCAUGGGAACGAAACUGAUACCUGAACUGUUACACAUGUGACAUCAUGCACCCCUCUGGGCUCGUCCGAUUCAAUCUUGGCAGAUUCCGUGAAAAUGGUCUGAUCUUAUUGAUUUUCCAUUAAUUUAUGGCCUUUUGGAUCAGCUAUGGUUUGAAAACACAUGGUCAAUCAGCAUAAUGAUUGUUACUUUGUACAAGGAAAAAAGUGGGGUUUAGGGGCAUUAAAGGAGAACUGAAGUCAUUUUUAAACUUGCUUUAUUUCUUAAUUAACGUGUUAUUCAAUUACAUUUUCGGUUUUAGUAACCUUAUAUAGUGACUCGUAUCGGCAACUAAUUGCAAUUAAAUAUUAUACUUAUCGGCCUAUUCGGUUUUUAGCCGUGUUGAAUUUAGUUCGUUUGGUCCACGGCAGGCGUCGCUUAUCUGCGCGAUCUUCACGAGACUUGUGCGAGACUUCGAAACGUGAAGUGUCAGCCAGGUGUCAGUGCCGCCAUUUUGAAAACUGUUUUCCAAACGAAAUAUUGCACAAAAACGAGUUUAAAUGACGAUUACUGCCUACUUUUUUUCAAACUUUCCUGAUUGCUAUCAAGUCAAACUAAACUUCCGGCUUGAUUACAUCAGCAUUCGAAAGAGGGCGCGCGCGUCUUUUGACAACGUUGGCAGAUGUUGGUCACUUUGAUUUCUGCUGUACGUUUACUUCCAUCCUACGAUGUCUCGCACAGGUCUCAACGAAUCUCAUUGCUUUGACAUAUGGACUGAUUUAUUACAGAGCAUAUUUCAAACACUCAUAACUUGCUAUAGCAGCGACAAAAUAGCGAUCAAAAAUGCAUUCCUAUAUUUAAUAAAAUGAGAGAAAUAGAAAUUUGAUAAUAAAAAAAAUUGCCUUCAGUUCCCCUUUAAAUGUACUUUAACAAGUAAUCAGAGCUCUCUUUUAACAGAUUGCUAAAAGUUGAAGAAAAGUGAGGCAAAUGAAGGGCGUACAAAUGGUUUGUGUAUAUAUAAAAUAAUAAGAAUAUACGGGCGGGCGGCACGGUGGUGUAGUGGUUAGCGCUGUCGCCUCACAGCAAGAAGGUCCUGGGUUCGAGCCCCAUGGCCGGCGAGGGCCUUUCUGUGUGGAGUUUGCAUGUUCUC